rnacentral:ncRNA from 1 species
UAUUAUUAGGGGUGCGCCGCGUAAAUCACUGCCGCGGAGCUGAGAUUAUACCCUUUGAACCUGAACAGGUUAGAACCUGCGUAGUGAAAAU